GGCGGCAGGCCUAACACAUGCAAGUCGAGCGGCAGCACGGGUACUUGUACCUGGUGGCGAGCGGCGGACGGGUGAGUAAUGCCUAGGAAUCUGCCUGGUAGUGGGGGAUAACGUUCGGAAACGAACGCUAAUACCGCAUACGUCCUACGGGAGAAAGCAGGGGACCUUCGGGCCUUGCGCUAUCAGAUGAGCCUAGGUCGGAUUAGCUAGUUGGUGAGGUAAUGGCUCACCAAGGCGACGAUCCGUAACUGGUCUGAGAGGAUGAUCAGUCACACUGGAACUGAGACACGGUCCAGACUCCUACGGGAGGCAGCAGUGGGGAAUAUUGGACAAUGGGCGAAAGCCUGAUCCAGCCAUGCCGCGUGUGUGAAGAAGGUCUUCGGAUUGUAAAGCACUUUAAGUUGGGAGGAAGGGCAGUUACCUAAUACGUGAUUGUUUUGACGUUACCGACAGAAUAAGCACCGGCUAACUCUGUGCCAGCAGCCGCGGUAAUACAGAGGGUGCAAGCGUUAAUCGGAAUUACUGGGCGU
rnacentral:rRNA from 1 species